rnacentral:rRNA from 1 species
AAAUUGAAGAGUUUGAUCAUGGCUCAGAUUGAACGCUGGCGGCAGGCCUAACACAUGCAAGUCGAACGGUAACAGGAAGCAGCUUGCUGCUUUGCUGACGAGUGGCGGACGGGUGAGUAAUGUCUGGGAAACUGCCUGAUGGAGGGGGAUAACUACUGGAAACGGUAGCUAAUACCGCAUAACGUCGCAAGACCAAAGAGGGGGACCUUCGGGCCUCUUGCCAUCGGAUGUGCCCAGAUGGGAUUAGCUAGUAGGUGGGGUAAAGGCUCACCUAGGCGACGAUCCCUAGCUGGUCUGAGAGGAUGACCAGCCACACUGGAACUGAGACACGGUCCAGACUCCUACGGGAGGCAGCAGUGGGGAAUAUUGCACAAUGGGCGCAAGCCUGAUGCAGCCAUGCCGCGUGUAUGAAG